rnacentral:rRNA from 1 species
AUGCCUGUGUGUCGUUGUGCUCUGAUUGGUUGUUUUUUGUGUAUUUUCGCAGGUUGCACGAGCUCUGCUGUAGCUGCGUCGUUCGACUCAUCAAGAUAUACCACGAAGGGAAGAUCUGCCUCACUGUGCACUUCAGGGGCGCAUACACUAGCGAUGGUACAGGAUUGGCUUCCUGGUGGAAUCAGAUAUACCACGAAGGGAAGAUCUGCCUCACUGUGCACUUCAGGGGCGCAUACACUAGCGAUGGUACAGGAUUGGCUUCCUGGUGGAAUCAGGUGCGCGUCGUCCAUGGUGGCCUGUCGUGGGUGUUGGUGGGCGGCUGGAGGCGGCUGUAGCAGUACUGCACCUGGUUAUCUACAGAGGAAGGCAAGGAUAACUAGAUUAAACAUUUCACAAGACCCUCCCAAUUACAGGCACAAACUCCUUUCAAGAUAUUACAAGUGUGGUUGA